ACACUGAUGGUGAAACGGUUAUCAUGCUUGCCUUCCAUGGAUGUUGAAGCAUGAGAGCAAGUGGUAGGGGUUCAAUUCCCCCUUCGGCGUA